rnacentral:rRNA from 1 species
GAUGAACGCUGGCGGCGUGCCUAAUACAUGCAAGUCGAGCGAACGGACGAGGAGCUUGCUUCUCUGAUGUUAGCGGCGGACGGGUGAGUAACACGUGGAUAACCUACCUAUAAGACUGGGAUAACCUCGGGAAACCGGAGCUAAUACCGGAUGAUAUUUUGAACCGCAUGGUUCAAAAGUGAAAGACGGUCUUGCUGUCACUUAUAGAUGGAUCCGCGCUGCAUUAGCUAGUUGGUAAGGUAACGGCUUACCAAGGCAACGAUGCAUAGCCGACCUGAGAGGGUGAUCGGCCACACUGGAACUGAGACACGGUCCAGACUCCUACGGGAGGCAGCAGUAGGGAAUCUUCCGCAAUGGGCGAAAGCCUGACGGAGCAACGCCGCGUGAGUGAUGAAGGUCUUCGGAUCGUAAAACUCUGUUAUUAGGGAAGAACAUAUGUGUAAGUAACUGUGCACAUCUUGACGGUACCUAAUCAGAAAGCCACGGCUAACUACGUG